GCGCGCGUAGGUGGUUAAUUAAGUCAAAUGUGAAAUCCCCGAGCUUAACUUGGGAAUUGCAUUCGAUACUGGUUAGCUAGAGUAUGGGAGAGGAUGGUAGAAUUCCAGGUGUAGCGGUGAAAUGCGUAGAGAUCUGGAGGAAUACCGAUGGCGAAGGCAGCCAUCUGGCCUAAUACUGACACUGAGGUGCGAAAGCAUGGGGAGCAAACAGGAUUAGAUACCCUGGUAGUCCAUGCCGUAAACGAUGUCUACUAGCCGUUGGGGGAUUUGAUCCUUUAGUGGCGCAGCUAACGCGAUAAGUAGACCGCCUGGGGAGUACGGUCGCAAGACUAAAACUCAAAUGAAUUGACGGGGGCCCGCACAAGCGGUGGAGCAUGUGGUUUAAUUCGAUGCAACGCGAAGAACCUUACCUGGCCUUGACAUAGUAGAGACUUUCCAGAGAUGGAUUGGUGCCUUCGGGAAUCUACAUACAGGUGCUGCAUGGCUGUCGUCAGCUCGUGUCGUGAGAUGUUGGGUUAAGUCCCGCAACGAGCGCAACCCUUUUCCUUACUUGCCAGCAUUUCGGAUGGGAACUUUAAGGAUACUGCCAGUGACAAACUGGAGGAAGGCGGGGACGACGUCAAGUCAUCAUGGCCCUUACGGCCAGGGCUACACACGUGCUACAAUGGUCGGUACAAAGGGUUGCUACACAGCGAUGUGAUGCUAAUCUCAAAAAGCCGAUCGUAGUCCGGAUCGCAGUCUGCAACUCGACUGCGUGAAGUCGGAAUCGCUAGUAAUCGCGGAUCAGAAUGCCGCGGUGAAUACGUUCCCG
rnacentral:rRNA from 1 species